GCAUUUGUGGUUCAAUGGUUGGAUGUUCGUUUUCUGAUCGAGUGAGUCGGAUUCGAAAACCGAUCGAUACA